GGAUACCUGGCUGUGGAAGGUAGAAUAGAAAUUACAACAAAAAAAUCCUAAUUCUAAUAUAACACUAACUAAAUUCUAAUUUGAUCAUAACAAUACUAAGUAAACUUUAAUCAAAUUCAAAGAAACAUCAAAAGAAUUACAAAGAAAUAAUAAAAAAUCUUAAAAAAAUAUUAGAAUGAUUACAAAUAUAUCUCAAAUAUAUCUCAAUUUAAUCUUAAUUUAAUCCUAUUUAAAAUCUCAUUGGACUUCAUUCAAACUUUAGGCCAAAAACUAACUAAAUCUUAAAUCCUAAAUAAAUCCUAAUCAAAUCUUAAAUCCUAAAUCAAAUCCUAAUCAAAUCCUAAAUCCUAAAUCAAAUCCUAAUCAAAUCCUAAAUCUUAAAUCACAUCCUAACAAAAUCCUAACCAAAUCCUAAAUC
rnacentral:lncRNA from 1 species